GAGUCGAUGAUCGGUAU
rnacentral:siRNA from 2 species